rfam:Magnetospirillum moscoviense strain BB-1 NODE_25_length_52426_cov_120.336_ID_5572, whole genome shotgun sequence.
AUGACCCCCGCGGGAGAGUCUGAUCCACAACAUCUUGUGUUGUGAGGUCGGCGCCGAAGGAGCAACCGCCCCUGGAAACUCUCAGGCAAACGGACCGUGGGGCGAUG